UAGGAACGGGAAAAAAGCAGAGGGCGGGAGAAUUCGGAGGAAGAGGAGGAAUCGAUAAACUAGAGGCGCUAACACUUCUAAGAACGGCUGCAGGCACAGACCAAGCAAGCUGAAAGGAGAGAUGCUUAUCCCAGCAGUGGAUGCUGGAGUCAGUAAUUUUGCAGCUGGAGCUGUUUUGGGUGAUGACAUGGUCAGACCUUUGGGCAUCUAUGCAGCUGUAUCUUCAUUCUGGGCUGAGUUGCUAAGUCCCAGAAUUUUAUAAAAGAUGAUCUCACCGUGCAUCCCAUGUUAAGUAGGUUUGGUAACCAAAAAAACCAAGAGCUCGGGUUUGGUGCCUACUGCAUGGUUCCAGGCCUGUCACAAACGGACUGUGUAACCGUGGACCUUGGGACAUGAACUUCAUGGUCCUUCCAUCUCAAAUCUAUGAUUCUAUGGCCUCAUUAUAAUUACAGUCUUUUUCCAAACAACUGACUUUCAAGAGGAACCCUGGGGGAUUUGCCUAUUAAAAAUAUGCAACUUUACAAGUAUUUAUCUGUUUCUUGGAAUAUUAAACUGUCGGAAAGCUGCCUUCUGGAUCACAUGACAGAAUCUCUGCCAUGUGGUCCUCAGAGCCCGUGUGAGUGGAAUUCUGUACCCACCACAGCUGGUGCUAGGUGUCCUUCUGGUCCUGCUCUCUGUGAUGCUCUUUACCUAACAAGCAUUCCCCCCACCCCCGCCUUUUAAAAUUUAUUUCAGAUAAGCUGUAUGUCCAAUGUGGGGCUUGAACUCAUCACCCUGAGAUUGAGAGUCACAUGUUCUACCAACUGAGCCAAUCAGGCACCGCACACUUUUUCUCUUUUAACAGUGCCUUAUAGGAGCGCUCCUUCAGCAGAAAGGACAGAGGCCAUUGCUCUUCGAAUCGGACGUGAUGUUGUGAUCUGUAAAUUCCUAUGAACAUUUGAACAUUUUAUUGAUAUUUAUUCAGGAGAGAUUCCAAAAGGCCCAACUGCCCCCCUCUCUCCCCUCCUCCCCACCAAUCACUCUUCCCUCUCCAGGGCUGAGAGAGUAUGAAGACCAAUUUAAGGUAAAUUUUUAACAAGAUGGUCUAGCUUGGGUUUUGGAGGCUUGACUAAUGAAGUAAGUGGUAGUUUUUAGCUAAAAUAACCUCAUUGUUUGGACAAGUUUUCUCCUUUGAGUUUUCUAGGGUCAUUAGAGCGGUGUAACUACCUUACCUGCUGUUUGAACUGGCUGAGCCUCCGGAGGGACAGAAAACAAAAGAAGGGUGUUGAAAUGCAAAUAGAUAGCUCUAAAUUCCAGUCCCAGGGCUGCCAAAAUAAAACCAAAGCUGACAAGGAGGGUCUCCACAAAGGUCUGUGGAAAGGCUCUAGAAAAAUCUCACGAGAUGAAUUUCUUUUCGUGGACUAGAGUCUUCUGGUAGGUAAGAAAAACAAAAACAAAAUAAAAACAAACAAAGGAUUUCAUACUCGGAAUUUGCUCACUGCCAGUUGAAUGGCUAAUUGUUUCUUGUCUGCCCCCCCCACACACACUUUUUUCUGCCUGAAUAGAUAAUCCUUACAAAACAUCCAUUCAUUCUACAAGUGAAAAUUUCUGGAAUACUCGCCACUGGCCUUGGCAAGUCUAACGGACCCAGAGUGAGUGAUGGAUUUGUGUGUGCUGCCAGUCACCGGCGUAUUGGUGUUUUGUAUGCUAGUUUAAGAAUAUUUUAGCAUUAGAAGAUUUAUGACAUUUUAAUUAAUGAAUACGAUGAAGGCUUAAACUUGCAGACAAAAUUAUAAGGUACAACGUUACUUUUGUAGCUUGAUUUUGAGCACAAACCUGUUUGUUUUUGUUGCUUUGAGAAAGGACCCGCUGAUAAUUAAUGUUCGCUUUCUUUGCAGUGUGACCACUUUAACUGACAUGUAAACAAUUACUUUUUAAGGGAAAUAAAAUAAGGAGGCAAUACAGCCUACCAAAAAGGAUGCACAAUAUCAGAUUCUUAAUUGCUAAAUUUAAUUAGGUCUGUUGCUUGAUUUCUGCCCUGAACUGGCUGCAUGACUUUGAAUAAGUUAUUAAGUUCCCCUUUGAAAAAAAAAAUAAAAUUGGAAUGAGAAAUAUGUGAUAGUGAAAAAAUAUUUGUGAAAACGUUUUAAAGUCCCGUGAGAAAAGCACAAUCAGAAACCACAGUUGGGUUGAGCUAUUUCACUGGAAGUAUCUGAUCUUGUCCGUAAACCUAAAUUUUAGUAUAUGAGAUAAUUUUUUUUUUAACGCAUUUAAUGUCAGAUGCUUAGGAACUCGUCAAUUUGUUAAUGGAAAGAAACACCACAUACACUGGAUGGCUACAUAGCAACUUUAUUCUGGUAAAAUAAUCUCUUAAGUCCUUGUAUACACAGUCACUAACUGUGUUGGCUUUAUAAGGUCAGCGCGAGCAUACCAGCCCCGUGGCUGUUAGGAAACCCGCGCGUCCAAGAUAGCAAGCACUAACUUGAACAAACACACAAAACAGCAAAUAGUUUAAACAGUGUCAGUUGAUUUGUAUGUAACCCAGUCCCAACAGAGGAGUUUAAAAAAAAUCACCAGCAAAGUUACAUUCGUUAUGGAGAAUGUUAGGGUGUAUCAGUGGAGGUGUAUCAGUGCAUUAUUAAAAAGCAAAGGUUAGAAAGUGGAAUCUUGAAUUCAGAUACCCUUAAACUAUGAAGGACUACAACUGGCAGGCCAGCUUUUAUUUCAGACUGCUGCUACUUUUGAAGGAGAAAGCUUUGGAAACCAGGUUCUCCAAGAACCAACCACAGUCAAGUGAAGAAGUGAAUUCUGCUGAGGUUAGCAGAAGCCCCGUGGUUUUAGGAACUAGGGAUGCCAGGCUCCCAGGUUCUGAGGUCCAAUAUUGAAUCUGUCCCUGAGUCACCCUGACCAGUCACCCUGUGUCUUGUGUUUCCCUCUUUAGAGAAGAGAUAAGACUAUUGACUUUUUUUUUUUUAAGAAUUUUUUUUUUUUUUUUAAGACUUUAUUUAUUUGGGGCACCUGGGUGGCUCAGUGGGUUAAAGCCUCUGCCUUCAGCUCAGGUCAUGAUCUCAGAAUCCUGGGAUCCAGCCCAGCAUUGGGCUCUCUGCUCCGCAGGGAGCCUGCUUCCCCCGCCCUCUGCCUACCUCUCUGACUACCUCUCUGACUACUUGUGAUCUCUAUCUGUGAAAUAAAUAAAUAAAAUCUUAAAAAAAAAAAAAAAAGAUUUUAUUUAUUUAUUUGACAAAGAGAGACACAGCGAGAGAGGGAACACAAGCAGGGGGAGCAGCUUCCCGCCGAGCAGGAACACAAGCAGGGUUCCCACCGAGCAGGGAGCCCUAUGCAGGGCUAGAUCCCAGGACCCUGGGACCAUGACCUGAGCCGAAGGCAGACGCUUAAGAACUGAGCCACCCAGGUGCCCCUAAGAUUUUAUUUUAACCUAACCACCUAACGUGGCUUGAACUCAUAACCCUGAGAUCAAGAGCCACACACUCCACUGACCGCGCCAGCCAGGCGCCCCAGACUGUACUGACUUUUUCAGAGGUUGCAAAACACGUUAUAAAAGGAUAAGAAGCAGUAAACAAACAUGUAACCAUAAAAUAUUAGAGGGGAUGCAUUUUAAUAAAGAUUAUAUUUUAUUUUAAAAUUGUAUUUAAAAAGAAAGACCGAGAGCAUGAGCUGCGGGGAGAGACAGAGGGAGAAGCAAGCAGACUCCCUGCUGAGCCAGGAGCCUGAUGAUUGUGGGGCUCGAUCCCAGGACCUGGGGAUCACGACCUGAGCUGAAGGCAGCUGCUUAGCCAUCUGAGCCACCCAGGUGCCCCUUUAAGAUUUUAUUUUUAAGUAAUCGCUAUCCACGGUGGGGCCUGAACGCACAAACCUGAGAUCAACAGCCACAAGCACCGCGGACUGAACCGGCCAGGUGCCCCUUCAAAGGACAGCUGUUCCGCCGCACCUUGGGUUUUGAAUUCUGUCUUCUUGUUGGACAUCACUUAGAUGCCUCACCAACACAGCAAAUCUUUCAGAGAUGGAACUCAGUGUUUGUUAGUUUUCUUAAUGGCACCUCUCAUCAUUUAAAAAAAGUGUAUAGUUUUUAACUUCAUCCUUCCAACCUUCUUUACACUUUCUACCAAUCUAGCCAGUCCUGAAUUCCUUUCAAUUUUUCUAUCUGUGUCUAGCAUCAUUCUUCUGAUACCCAGUAAUGAACAGUUAUUAUUAUUUUUGUCCUGUUUCAGUUUUUUUAAUGACAUAAAACAUUGGCGAGAAAGUCAAGUUUCCUUCGAAUACUAAUCCCAGUUCCAUUUCCGCCUCCUCUUUAAAAUUUUUUACUUUUUUUGGAAAGAUUUUAUUUAUUUAUUUGACAGACAGAGAUCACAAGUAGGCAGAGAGGCAGGCAGAGAGAGACGGAGAAGCAGGCUCCUGGGAGCAGAGAGCCCGAUGCGGGGCUCCAUCCCAGCACCCUGAGAUCAUGACCUGAGCCGAAGGCAGAGGCUUAACCCACUGAACCACCCAGGUGCCCCGCAUUGCCUCCUUCUGUCCUCACCUCACAGAGCCCCUGUUCAGUCUGAUACAUGCUUUAAAAAUAUUUUAUAUAUAUUUAACAUGUACAUGUUAAUAGGUAGUAUUGUUUUAUGAGUAUAAAUAUCUAUAAAUGGUUCCAUGUAUACCUAUUGUUCUAUGAUUUGCUUACUUUCCUGGACAGUCUUUUGACAGCGAUCCAUGUCUAUAUAUAUACACACACACAUAUAUAUGUGUAUAUGUAUAGACGAGAUAUAUAUACAUCUUCACUAUUUUUAAUUUCCUGGUAUUUCAUGGCAUAAAUAAUACCACAUUUUAUUAAUCAGUCCGUUAGUGGAUAUGGAUUGUUUUCAGAUGUUCACUAACAUAAACAACGCUUACAUUAUUUUUACCUACGUCAGAUAUAGGUAUUAGUUUCUUAGGCUAGACCCAGGAUGCUGAAUUCUACAUUUAAAUAUGCCCAAUUUCACUUUUUUUUUUUUGAAGAUUUUAUUUAUUUAUUUAUUUGACAGAGAAAGACACAGUGAGAGAGAGAACACAAGCAGAGAGAGAGGAAAAGCAGGCUUCCCGCUGAGCAGAGAACCUGAUGCUGUGUUUGAUCAGGACCCUGUGCUCAGGGACCCCAGAGGAAGGCGAGGCUUAACUCACUGAGCCACCCAGGCGUACCCUCUCCAUUUCGCUUUUAGGAGAUAUCACCAAAUUGAUUUGCAGCUGUUUGAAAACUGUUCCCCAAAUACUCUCAACACUUUCUAGGCUUUUUUUUUUUUUUAAACAAACCAAUUAACCAACCCAUGACCUCCAUAUUAAGACCUGAGCUAAGCUGAGGUCCAGAGUUGGACCCUCAACUGACAGAGCCACUGAAGUGCCCCCAGACUUAUUUUUUUUUUAAUUUAUUUAAAACAAUUUUUUUCUUGUGAUAAAAAUUCUUAAGAUCUCUAAAACAACUUUCAAAUAAGCAAUACCGUAUCGUUCACUGUUGUCACUGUGCUGUACAUCCCUAUCAGGCUUCUUAAUUUUUGCCAAUUUUAGUGGUAACAAAUGGUUUUCCCUUGGGUUUUCUAGCUUCAUUUCAGUUCCUUAUAUUCACAGUCCUUCCCGAAGGACAGCUCUUUUCCGAGUGCUCUCCAGGUCAAACACUUCAGAGGCUCUCCUCUCUCUGCUCACUCCAAACUGUCUGGCCUUAUGGAGCCAGGUCCUCUGCACCAGCCCGUCUAGCCCCAUCUCCAUGUGUCUGGCUGCGCCAAAAUGAGCUACUCUCACCAUUUUUUCAAAUUCGGCUUUUAUUUUCUGCCUCAGCAACUCGAUCAUGCUCUUCUACAUUACUUUAUUGAUUCAAUAAAUAUUUAGUGAGUUCUUUACUCCCAGCCAGGUGCUGAGAAUGUAAGAGUGAGUGAGAAAGACAGUAUCAAGCACGCAGGCAGCUUACCAUCUUAAGCAGAGAGUGCGGAAGGGGCAGAAAAGAAAACCCAGUAAAAUGAUAAAUAAGCUACUUUUUCAUAGUUGUAGGUUCUAUAAAGAAAGUAAAGUGGCGCCUGGGUGGCUCAGUCAGUUAAGCAUCUGCCUUCAGCUCAGGUCAUGAUCCCAGGGCCCUGGGAUCCAGUCCAGAGCUGGGCUUCCUGCUCCCCCAGGGUGGCGGGGUGGGGGUGGGGGGCUGCUGCUCCCUCUUCCUCUGCCCCUCCUCCUGUUUGUGCUCCC